rnacentral:tRNA from 2 species
AUUUUUCUAGUACUAACUAGUAUAAGUGAUUUCCAAUCACAAGGUCUCGGUUAAAGUCCGAGGAAAAAUA